CGGUCGAAUUUCUUUUUGUUGCCGCUCAUAGCAAUUAGCAGAGAGCCUCAAUGCACACACCGUAUAUUUAGUUUGAUAGUAGUUGUUUUGUUGCACAUUGUAAUGCAGAUGUUACUAAAUGAUCUUGAGAGGGUAUUUAAUAUAACUGAGUUAGUGUUACUGCGUUUUGGCUGCGAUGUGCUGGAGACUACUAGAAACUUGUUCUAGUAUAGAAUAGCUUAGUGGAUCAGGAUGUUGCUAAAUUAAAUCCCUUGUUACACUCGUUUAGUUCUGGACAGGAUUUGAACGUUUUACACUUUUAUCAGAUCAUUUCAAUCAUGCUUCAUACCGAAAUUACAAUUAACCCAUUCAAGCCUUGUAUAAACAAUAACGGACAGUAUUCUGUGUUAGAAAAAAUAUAUGUACUUCCAAUCAAAUCGUGCAAUUUCCUUGGUACACAGGUGCACAUUCUUUGAUGCCCGAAAUGCAUUCCAAGCUCUAGAUAUCUGCCUUCAAUAAUGGCCUAUAAUCACAUUUGCCAAAAAACAGCUGCUUUGUAAUGCUGGUGUGUCCCACUUAGUUUGAUUAUCUUAGUUAAGCUGUAAUAUCGAACUCGAAGACCUGUUUCGUUAUUAUUUCUUGAAAUGCAGGUAUUUGAAGGUUUUGAAGCAAUUUUUUCAAUUAAUCUAUUUUCCUGGUGUAGAAACAGACCUAACUUGAUGUAUAUUGUUUAUUCUAAUUAAAGUAUAUUUGAAUUUAAAAUAUGAACUUCAAAUAUCAUUAUUUCUAGCUGAACCAGAAUUUCCUUUGGGACGAGAUGCUUUCCGGACAAACAUUAUUGUAUGCUGAUAUAAUAAUUAACAACCGAUCCUAUGGGCUGAAAUAUGUGUUAAAAGCUUGGAGCAAGACACAUUACGAUCGAUGGCGUUCGCUGACUGAUGCAUUGCUAUUUACUGCUGACUAGCUUAUCCUUUUGUUGCCUCUAAUCAGUGAUGAACACCAAUUAGAAUCAAUCGAUUUAAUUCACAGGAUAUUACGAUUGUUUACAAGGGCCCUAGCACCUGUAGUUUAAGUUAUUCGAUUCGAUUUUUAUUAAAUAACGCCGUUUUUCUUUUUCUGAUCUAUUAUUAGAGCUGUCAAUGUCUUCAUCUUAUAUUUAUUGCUGCGAUGUUUUACUUUAUUUUAUAUAUCAGUUGAGACUAAUUAAUGAAUUUGACAAAUUUACAAG